rnacentral:lncRNA from 1 species
GGGGGCUUCGAUUGGUGGAAAAAAGUCAAAAAACAAAAAUCUAUCGGUGGCAAAAUUUUUUGAUGCGGUGGCUCUACUGGCUAAUCUUCGCAGGUGGGCAUUUUUCUUUUGUCAAUCUAUAGAAAACAGAACGGUAAACACAAUGGUAGAAAAAUUUCAUGAAACUUGAAACAAAUAGGGGCUCAUCGGAGGAAGUUUUGGGUUCUGCCAGCGGUUUUCAGUUCAUCCGUCAUUCAUUUUGCUCUGAUUUAGCCAUGGAGGUGCUCAGAAUCAAAUUCCGAGCAGAUAGGAGAAUGUUUUACCUUUUUUGGCGGUUGGAAGUAGUUCCAGCACAGCG